GCUGGGUGUGGUGGUGUGCACCUGUAAUCCCAGCAGCACAGGAGGCUGAGGCAGGAAGAUCAUGAAUUCAAAGCCAACCUCAGCAAAAGCAAGAUACUAAGCAAUUCAGUGAGACCCUGUCUCUA
rnacentral:sRNA from 1 species